rnacentral:lncRNA from 1 species
UACUUAUUCGCUGUUGAUGUUUUUAAUAUUUAAAUGAUGAUUUGAUUUUGGAAUGGUAUUUUAUUGAUGAAAAACGAGUAUUCUUGCAUUGAUAUUUGAUGAACUGAUGAUGAUGCUUCCUUAUUGGAAGUAAAGCUAAACCGAUUGUUUAGCUGGCCGGGAUCCCAACUUGACGAAUUGAUGAACUAAUCAUGCUUGAAUACUCGGUUUUAAUCUUAUGUGAACUAUUUUGCUGUGAUGAACCUUUGAUGAUAUUGAUAAAUUCUUGAUGAUUAUUUUAUCGAAAGAUUGUUUUAGUUUCUUGGAUAAACCUCAGUUGAAUCGUACAAUAUAUGCUUACUGAGCUUUAUGAGCUCACUCUUUUAUGUCACUAACUUUCUCAGGAAAGAAUUUUGGAGAAGGAUGUUCUGGAAAGGAUAAGAAUGUGAUGAACUAAGGUUUUAGUGACAACGAGAGGCUUGUAGCAAGUAAAGGAAGAUGCUAGUGUAAUAUGCUUGUGUUUGUGUUUGAGUUAGGAGCUUAUGAUGUAAUCUUUUGUUACGAACUUGAAAACGUUGUAAGAACUUUAUAUUAUUAAGUGUUGUUAAGGUUGUGUAAGCAUAUAUUGAGUUGGUUAGUUUGUUUGGCAUCCCCGGGUCGGGUUUCUGAGGUCAUCCCGGGCCGGGGGCGCCACAGGUGGUAUCAGAGCUAUAGGUUCGAGUAUCGGCGAAAGUAGAAUUAAGAUUCUAGACUGGUGUGUUUUUAAGUUAGGAGAAUAUGUCUAAGGGAUAUGUGGACCUUAGUUGUGAAUGUGUGGAAUAAACUAUAUGUUUAGUACUUACUAUAGUGCUAGUAUGAUUUGUGGAUUAGAACAGAGUUCUAAUAUAUAUUAUAUGAUUUUUAGGUAACAAUGAAUGAAGACAAUAGUAGUGGAGCUGGGCCUAGCAUUCAAAUUAGUCCUGAGAUGAUGUUGGUUUUGGAGGAAAUGAGAUAUAUGUUGAAGACUAUUAGGGGAGAUCAAGAAAAUGCGAAUACAAUUAAGGUAAACACUGAUCGUGUGGAAGAACAAGAUCGUAUAAAUAAUCCGGAGCGACAAGGUGAGAAUAAACGAAGGUGUACUUACAAGACCUUUAAGGAUGCUGAUCCCCCGAUAUUUAAAGGAGAUUUGGAUCCGCAUAUUGCGAAUACGUGGAUUAAGGAAAUGGAGAAAGUGAUAGAAAUUUCUGAAUGCUUGGAUGAACAAAAAGUGAAAUUCGCAACACACUCUUUAAGGGGGGAAGCAGUAUUUUGGUGGGACACUAUUAAACAAACAGAAGAUUGUUCAACGAUGACUUGGAUGAGGUUUAAGGAGUUGUUCUUUGAUAAAUAUUUCCCUACGUGUAUGGAAAAUGAGAUGGAGAGGAUAUAAGAAGGAUGACAAGAAGUUUCAGAAGACAAAGAAAGAGAGUUUCCGGGGAAAUGAUAGGAAGACCACUAUACCGGAGUGUAAGAAGUGUGGACUGAAGCAUGGUGGUGACAUUUGUUACCGAGCAGAUGGGUUGUGCUAUAAUUGUGGAGAGAAGGGGCAUAUAGCGACUCAAUGCCCAAAGCCGAAAGUAAUUAAAUUAGAGAAAGGGUCUCUUUGUUGGAACUAGAGCAAUUUGAUAAGUUGGUGGGAAAAGCUAGGAUUGCCGAAAGGGAGUAUGAAGCUCGCACCCAAUUCUUCAACAAUAAGAAAAGAGGAAGAGAAACAGAACUGCGUGAUAAUUCAGGAUAUAAGAAGGAUGACAAGAAGUUUCAGAAGACAAAGAAAGAGAGUUUCCGGGGAAAUGAUAGGAAGACCACUAUACCGGAGUGUAAGAAGUGUGGACUGAAGCAUGGUGGUGACAUUUGUUACCGAGCAGAUGGGUUGUGCUAUAAUUGUGGAGAGAAGGGGCAUAUAGCGACUCAAUGCCCAAAGCCGAAAGUAAUUUCUUGCUAUAGCUGCGGAAAACCAGGACAUGUAUCGAGGGACUGCCCACAGAAAGGAGUCAAGCAAGAAGUUGAAACUAAAGGAAAUAGGACUUCUACAACAAGACCUUUUCAGCAAUCAGCACCUAGGGCAGUGGCAAGAACCUACGCAAUGACAACUCAGGAUGCUGAAAAAUCUCAUGAUGUUGUGUCAGGUACGCUUCAACUUUGUUCUCAAGAUGUGCAUGUUUUGUUUGAUUCUGGAUCAACUCAUUCUUUUGUGGAUUUGAAGUAUGUGGAUAAGUUGAAUACUCCUGCGCAAAGUUUAGAUAAUGCCCUACUAGUAAAACUCCCUAAUGGUAGAAAUUUGUUUGUGAACAAAGUUUAUAAAAAUUGCACCCUUGUAAUUAGCGGACAUACUUUUAUAGUAGACUUGUUACCUUUAGACUUAAGGGAUUUUGGAGUGAUUUUGGGAAUGGAUUGGUUGACGAAGUAUAAAGCCAAUUUGGAUUGUAGUAAAAAGCGAAUAUGUUUAAGGAGGCUAGAUAAAAAGAAGGUUUAUUUUAAAGGAGACAGGUCGGAAAAACCUAGUGUCAUGAUAUCAGUUCUGGAAGCUUAUAAGAUGUUAAGAAAAGGAUGUGAAGGGUUUCUAGCUUAUGUGAUUGGUGAGGAGGAAGUUAAAAAUAAAGUUGAGAAUACCCAUGUGGUUAGAGAGUUUCUAGAUGUUUUUCCCGAGAAUUUGCCAGGAUUGCCACCCGAAAGAGAGGUUGAGUUUAGUAUUGAAUUGGUUCCGGAGGCGCAACCAGUAUCGAAAGCACCAUAUAGAAUGGCACCAACCGAGUUAGCAGAACUUAAGGUACAGUUACAAGAAUUGUUGGAUAAAAAGUAUAUUAGACCAAGUGUUUCUUCUUGGGGAGCACCGGUGUUGUUUGUGAAAAAGAAGGAUGGUUCUCUACGAUUAUGUAUUGAUUAUAGAGAAUUGAAUAAGUUGACUGUAAAGAAUAAGUACCCACUUCCGCGAAUAGACGAUCUUUUUGAUCAAUUACAAGGAGCCACUUACUUUUCAAAGAUAGAUUUGCGCUCAGGUUAUCAUCAAUUGAGAGUGAAGAAAGAAAGCAUUCCAUUGACGGCGUUUAGGACUCGAUAUGGUCAUUAUGAGUUUGUAGUAAUGCCGUUUGGGGUGACAAAUGCACCUGCGGUAUUUAUGGAUUUAAUGAAUCGAGUAUUUAAGAAUUAUUUGGAUAAGUUUGUAAUUGUGUUUAUCGACGAUAUUCUUAUUUACUCAAGGACUGAGCAGGAACAUGAAGAACAUUUGAGGAUGGUCUUGGAAACUUUGAGGAAAGAACAGUUGUAUGCUAAGUUUUCAAAAUGUGAGUUUUGGUUAAGGAGGGUAAGUUUUCUUGGACAUGUAGUUUCAGAAGAGGGGAUUUCGGUUGAUCCUUCAAAGAUUGAGGUGAUCAUGAAUUGGGAGAGACCAAGGACGGUGACAGAGAUUCGAAGUUUCUUAGGUUUGGCCGGGUAUUAUAGGAAGUUUGUUCAAGAUUUCUCUAAGAUAGCUGGACCAUUAACAAAUCUCACAAGGAAAGACGUUAAGUUUGUUUGGUCGGAGGAAUGUGAGAAAAGUUUUAUUGAAUUAAAGAAAAGACUAACGUCUGCUCCAGUACUUGGAUUACCAGAUGGAACUGAAGAUUUUGUUAUUUAUAGUGAUGCGUCAAGAAAAGGAUUAGGAUGUGUGUUAAUGCAACGUGAUAAGGUAAUUGCUUAUGCAUCUCGACAAUUAAGAAAUCAUGAGAAGAAUUACCCUACCCACGAUUUAGAAUUGGCUGCAGUAGUUUUCGCGCUUAAAAUUUGGAGGCAUUACUUGUAUGGAGGAAAGUGUAAAAUUUUUACAGAUCAUCAAAGUUUAAAGUACCUCUUUUCAAAGAGAGAUUUAAAUAUGAGGCAGAGAAGAUGGCUGGAAUUGUUAAAGGAUUAUGAUUGUGAAAUUUUAUAUCACCCUGGUAAGGCGAAUGUUGUAGCUGAUGCGUUAAGUAGGAAGGAAGUCGGGAAUUGUGCGAGUGUCGUAGUAGAAUCACUGGAUGUUAAAGAAGAAAGAUUUGGAGUGGGGUUUGAUAUGCAAAAGAAGGAUGAGAGCUUACUGUGUCAGAUUAAGGUCAAACCGAUGUUUUUAGAAAAGUUAAAGGCAAGUCAGAUUCAAGAUGAACGAUUAAAGGAAAUUCUGAAUAAUUCUAAUUCAGAGUCGGGAAAGAAAGAUUUUAGGAAAGGAAACGACGACAUCGUGAGGUUUCGCGAUCGAAUAUGUGUACCAUCUGAUAUAGAGAUUAAGAAGGAAAUAUUGUCUGACGCACAUUCAUCAUCUUUUUCAGUACAUCCUGGAUCUACGAAGAUGUAUAAGGACUUAAAGCAAUAUUUUUGGUGGCCUAAGAUGAAGAGAGAAAUUGCGGAAUGGGUGGCAAGAUGUUUAGUUUGUCAACAAGUGAAAGCGGAGCAUCAAAGGCCAGGAGGAUUAUUACAAUCGCUACCUGUCCCUGAAUGGAAAUGGGAACACAUCACCAUGGAUUUUGUAUUAGGAUUGCCAAGGACACAAAGAGGAAAUGAUGUCAUCUGGGUUAUCGUGGAUAGACUAACAAAGAGUGCGCACUUUCUGGCUAUAUCAGAAUCAUCACCUCUAGAGAAGUUAGCAAAGUUGUAUAUACGAGAAAUAGUUAGGUUGCAUGGAGUACCUGUGUCGAUUGUGUCUGACAGAGAUCCUAGAUUUACUUCGAGAUUUUGGAAUAGUUUUCAAGAAGAAAUGGGUACAAAACUAAGUAUGAGCACGGCAUUUCACCCUCAGACUGAUGGUCAAUCAGAACGUACGAUUCAAAUUUUAGAAGACAUGUUAAGAGCUUGUGUAUUGGACUUUAAAGGAAGUUGGGAAGAACAUUUACCUUUAGUAGAAUUUGCAUAUAAUAAUAGUUAUCAAGCGACAAUUGGAAUGGCUCCAUAUGAAGCUCUUUAUGGACGUCGAUGUAGAACACCGUUAUGUUGGGAUGAAGUUGGAGAAAGAAGAUUGUUGGGGCCUGAGUUGAUUCGUGUAACUACGGAGAAGGUAAAGUUGAUACAACAGAGGAUUUUAACGGCUCAAAGUAGGCAAAAGAGUUAUGCAGACAAGGAUCGGCGAGAUGUGGUGUUUAAGGAGGGAGAUUUUGUAUUUCUCAAAAUUUCUCCAUGGAAGGGUGUUAUGAGAUUCGGGAAGAAGGGAAAAUUAAGUCCUCGUUAUAUUGGGCCAUUUGAGGUUCUUAGAAGAAUUGGAGAAGUGGCAUAUGAGCUAGCACUACCACCAAGUCUUGGACAUAUUCAUAACGUAUUUCACGUGUCAUAUUUGCGAAAGUAUGUCUCAGAUCCAUCGCAUAUUAUAGAUUAUGAACCAAUAGAAAUUCAGGAAAAUAUGCAGUACGAAGAACACCCAGUUGAAAUAGCAGAUCGUCGCGAGCAGAAGUUGAGAACUAAGAUCAUACCUUUAGUGAAAGUUAUUUGGAGAAAUCAUAAUGUGGAGGAGGCAACUUGGGAACCCGAGGAAAUGAUGAGGACAAAGUAUCCCCAUUUAUUCGAUAAGUCAGGUAUGAUUUAAAUUUCGAGGGCGAAAUUCUUUUAAGGGGGGAAGGAUGUAAUACCCUGACUUCAUUUUAUUUGAAAAUACAUAAAUUAUAUGUAUUUAAAAAAUAUUAUUAUAUUUUCUUCCUUUUAGUAAAAUUUCAUUCAGUCCCAAUAUAUAUUUUUGAAUUAUUCUCAGCCCGAUAUUAAUCGGCCAAUUAUUAAUCGAACCUCGCUAGAUAGCCAAGUUCGAUUUUGUAGUUAAUAGGCAUCCCUUAACCUCAAUAUGUAGUUGAGGUAGGAACCUUGUGCUCACAUCUUUUCGAUGUGGGACAAGUUUACCUUAUUAUGAAAAUAAAUAGCAUACAAGCUUGAGUGCUUUAUAGAGGAGUAUAGGUGGACCCUUAAUUAACUUGUCAAUGUGGGACAUUUUCAUCCUUGUUUCAUGACUUUCAUGUCUAUUUACAUUACUUGAACUUUUUGUUAGUAAACAGACUUGAACUCCAUCGGACAAAUAUUUUUUUCUUUGAAAUAUUUUAUAGAACUUAAGAUAGGUUCUAAGCUCACUUCCUCAUUUUGGGAAGGAGUGAGUUCCUCUUAAUCUCUUAACUAAAUAACUUAUGGGUAUUAUAUAGAGUUGAGAAGGAGGUCUAUUCUAAACCUUCUCGAUGUGGGACAAUAAAAAUUGUCCAAAAUUAAACCAACAAGUCCUAGUUGGUUCAUAUUAUUUUUAAUAUGGGCUUGAUGGCCCUAAGAUAUAUUAUAGAGAAAGAGAUGAUGAUCUCUUGUAUCAUCUCGAUGUGGGACUAAUAUUGUCCAAUGCCAAGAAGUUGUCUUACUUGGUUAUUUUCUUGGUUUGUUUUAGUAUUGGUUCCAUAACCUUGUUAUAUAGGAAAAGAGAUGGCACAUCUCUAAUACCUCUUCAAUGUGGGACUUUGUCAAGUCUUGGUAAACUUAAAGCUUUUUCUUGUACUUGCUUAUGAGAAAUUUAUGUAUUUCUCUUUGUAUUAAAAUUUUAAAAACUAAUUUAAUUGGCGAUAUUUAAGCCAAGAAAAGUUGUGAACUUUCUUGAGCAGGUGUUGAACUUUCUUAAGUGAAGAAAAGAGCUAAGCAAGGUUUUUAUAGAUGUUGGAGGGGAGCCAACUCCUAUAUCUAAUCAAUGUGGGAGGUUUGUAACUUGUAUAGUAAAUAAGCAACUCUCAACCCACAUUGGGAAGAGAAAAGAAGAAAUUUGAGAAUAUAUAGUACAAGCCAAGCUAUGGGCAAUAAAAAGAAAACUUGCCGAUCUUAGCAAGGCAUGCAUUAUUUAUUAAUACUUUGGCACCCGGUGCCUAGCUAUCCUCCCUUGAACUCCUUUUAGUUUUAUUCUUUGUCCUUGUACCACAUCGAGAACAUGAUAUCAUGUUCUCCUGAAUAUAAGCAAUGAUCUAAAUUUUAACAUAGAAAUAAGACAAGAGAAGCAGGGGCAAGCACCACCCCUGUCGGCAGGGACGAGCGCCACCCCGACGCCAAGUUCCACGAGUUACCCUCGUUGCGCACAAAUUGUUCGCCAACAUUUUCUUAAAAAUUAGAUUCACCGUACCACAUCGAGAAGGAUUGGGAAAUUUUCCCACUUUCCUUAUAUAAAUACACCAUCCUAGUUGGCUUUCCUAAAUAGGAAGCUUAAGACUUCUACUUUGUAAGUCCUCGUACUUAAUUCUUCAUUAUUUAUUUAAUUUAUUAAUUUAUUAAUUAUUAAUUUAUAUUAUUAUUUAUAUUUGUGCGUGGUUAGUUAAUUUCAAUUAGCUAGUAGAGUUGUAAUUAGUAGCUUUUAGCUUAUUAAUCAAAAAUUGUGAUUAAUAUUGUUAGGACGGGAUUAAUAAUAUCGAGGUUCGAGAUCGAGAAAGAAUUUAAAUUUUAGAAGCGAAUUAAGGUAAGUAUAUACUGUACUUAUUCGCUGUUGAUGUUUUUAAUAUUAAAAUGAUGAUUUGAUUUUGGAAUGGUAUUUUAUUGAUGAAAAACGAGUAUUCUUGCAUUGAUAUUUGAUGAACUGAUGAUGAUGCUUCCUUAUUGGAAGUAAAGCUAAACCGAUUGUUUAGCUGGCCGGGAUCCCAACUUGACGAAUUGAUGAAUUAAUCAUGCUUGAAUACUCGGUUUUAAUCUUAUGUGAACUAUUUUGCUGUGAUGAACCUUUGAUGAUAUUGAUAAAUUCUUGAUGAUUAUUUUAUCAAAAGAUUGUUUUAGUUCUUAGAUAAACCUCAGUUGAAUCGUACAAUAUAUGCUUACUGAGCUUUAUAGCUCACUCUUUUAUGUCACUAACUUUCUCAGGAAAGAAUUUUGGAGAAGGAUGUUCUGGAAAGGAUAAGAAUGU